UUUUAUGAGAGUUUGAUCCUGGCUCAGGACGAACGCUGGCGGCGUGCCUAAUACAUGCAAGUCGAGCGGACCUGUGGGAGCUUGCUCCCAUAGGUUAGCGGCGGACGGGUGAGUAACACGUGGGCAACCUGCCUGUAAGACUGGGAUAACUUCGGGAAACCGGAGCUAAUACCGGAUAACUUCUUUUCUCGCAUGAGGAGAGGUUGAAAGAUGGCUUCGGCNNNNNNNNNNCUCCCAAAGGUUAGCGGCGGACGGGUGAGUAACACGUGGGCAACCUGCCUGUAAGACUGGGAUAACUUCGGGAAACCGGAGCUAAUACCGGAUAACUUCUUUUCUCGCAUGAGGAGAGGUUGAAAGAUGGCUUCGGCUAUCACUUACAGAUGGGCCCGCGGCGCAUUAGCUAGUUGGUGAGGUAACGGCUCACCAAGGCAACGAUGCGUAGCCGACCUGAGAGGGUGAUCGGCCACACUGGGACUGAGACACGGCCCAGACUCCUACGGGAGGCAGCAGUAGGGAAUCUUCCGCAAUGGACGAAAGUCUGACGGAGCAACGCCGCGUGAGUGAUGAAGGUCUUCGGAUCGUAAAACUCUGUUAUCAGGGAAGAACAAGUAUCGGAGUAACUGCCGGUACCUUGACGGUACCUGACCAGAAAGCCACGGCUAACUACGUGCCAGCAGCCGCGGUAAUACGUAGGUGGCAAGCGUUGUCCGGAAUUAUUGGGCGUAAAGCGCGCGCAGGCGGUCUCUUAAGUCUGAUGUGAAAGCCCACGGCUCAACCGUGGAGGGUCAUUGGAAACUGGGAGACUUGAGUGCAGAAGAGAAGAGCGGAAUUCCACGUGUAGCGGUGAAAUGCGUAGAGAUGUGGGGGAACACCAGUGGCGAAGGCGGCUCUUUGGUCUGUAACUGACGCUGAGGCGCGAAAGCGUGGGGAGCGAACAGGAUUAGAUACCCUGGUAGUCCACGCCGUAAACGAUGAGUGCUAAGUGUUAGAGGGUUUCCGCCCUUUAGUGCUGCAGCAAACGCAUUAAGCACUCCGCCUGGGGAGUACGGCCGCAAGGCUGAAACUCAAAGGAAUUGACGGGGGCCCGCACAAGCGGUGGAGCAUGUGGUUUAAUUCGAAGCAACGCGAAGAACCUUACCAGGUCUUGACAUCCUUUUGCCCUCCCUAGAGAUAGGGAUUUCCCUUCGGGGACAAAAGUGACAGGUGGUGCAUGGUUGUCGUCAGCUCGUGUCGUGAGAUGUUGGGUUAAGUCCCGCAACGAGCGCAACCCUUGACCUUAGUUGCCAGCAUUCAGUUGGGCACUCUAAGGUGACUGCCGGUGACAAACCGGAGGAAGGUGGGGAUGACGUCAAAUCAUCAUGCCCCUUAUGACCUGGGCUACACACGUGCUACAAUGGAUGGUACAAAGGGUUGCGAGACCGCGAGGUUUAGCUAAUCCCAUAAAACCAUUCUCAGUUCGGAUUGCAGGCUGCAACUCGCCUGCAUGAAGCCGGAAUCGCUAGUAAUCGCGGAUCAGCAUGCCGCGGUGAAUACGUUCCCGGGCCUUGUACACACCGCCCGUCACACCACGAGAGUUUGUAACACCCGAAGUCGGUGGGGUAACCCUUACGGGAGCCAGCCGCCGAAGGUGGGACAGAUGAUUGGGGUGAAGUCGUAACAAGGUAGCCGUAUCGGAAGGUGCGGCUGGAUCACCUCCUUU
rnacentral:rRNA from 1 species